UACAGAGGUCUCAAGCGUUGUUCGGAUUCAUUGGGCGUAAAGGGUGCGUAGGCGGCGGAGUAAGUUGGGUGUGAAAUCCCGGGGCUCAACCUCGGAUUAGCAUUCAAUACUGCUUCGCUAGAGUACUGGAGAGGAGGCUGGAAUUUACGGUGUAGCAGUGAAAUGCGUAGAUAUCGUAAGGAAGGCCGGUGGCGAAAGCGAGCCUCUGGACAGUUACUGACGCUGAUGCACGAAGGCCAGGGGAGCAAACGGG
rnacentral:rRNA from 1 species